CCAAAACGAUCCUUGAACUACACUUGAUUAACCUGAACGAACCGCUCACUUAAGGAACUCAAGCUUUAAAGAAAGCCUUUACGUUUUGAUGAUUCCCCUUAAUAAGACUUCCCACUUCACUUACAGCUUACUUCCUUUCUACAACACCACCUAGGGCUGCUGAGUUAGAUUCCUUUAGCGCUGACCUGAGAUUACACUGAUUGACUUAGCGCCGAAGAAGCACAAAGAGCUUAUACUUUAAGAACAGAAUCGAAAUGAUUAAGUCGUACCUGAACCCUUACCUUGAACCUGUGGCUUCUGCUGACG
rnacentral:lncRNA from 1 species